CCUACGGGUGGCAGCAGUGAGGAAUAUUGGUCAAUGGGCGAGAGCCUGAACCAGCCAAGUCGCGUGAAGGAUGACGGCCCUACGGGUUGUAAACUUCUUUUGUCAGGGAGCAAUUGAGUCCACGUGUGGUCUUAGCGAGAGUACCUGAAGAAAAAGCAUCGGCUAACUCCGUGCCAGCAGCCGCGGUAAUACGUAGGUGGCAAGCGUUAUCCGGAUUUAUUGGGCGUAAAGGGAACGCAGGCGGUCUUUUAAGUCUGAUGUGAAAGCCUUCGGCUUAACCGGAGUAGUGCAUUGGAAACUGGGAGACUUGAGUGCAGAAGAGGAGAGUGGAACUCCAUGUGUAGCGGUGAAAUGCGUAGAUAUAUGGAAGAACUCCGAUUGCGAAGGCAGCUUACUAAACUGCCACUGACAUUGAUGCUCGAAAGUGUGGGUAUCAAACAGGAUUAGAUACCCCAGUAGUC
rnacentral:rRNA from 1 species